GAAACAGGUGCUAAUACCGCAUAACAACUUGGACCGCAUGGUCCGAGCUUGAAAGAUGGCUUCGGCUAUCACUUUUGGAUGGUCCCGCGGCGUAUUAGCUAGAUGGUGGGGUAACGGCUCACCAUGGCAAUGAUACGUAGCCGACCUGAGAGGGUAAUCGGCCACAUUGGGACUGAGACACGGCCCAAACUCCUACGGGAGGCAGCAGUAGGGAAUCUUCCACAAUGGACGAAAGUCUGAUGGAGCAACGCCGCGUGAGUGAAGAAGGGUUUCGGCUCGUAAAACUCUGUUGUUAAAGAAGAACAUAUCUGAGAGUAACUGUUCAGGUAUUGACGGUAUUUAACCAGAAAGCCACGGCUAACUACGUGCCAGCAGCCGCGGUAAUACGUAGGUGGCAAGCGUUGUCCGGAUUUAUUGGGCGUAAAGCGAGCGCAGGCGGUUUUUUAAGUCUGAUGUGAAAGCCUUCGGCUCAACCGAAGAAGUGCAUCCAAACUGGGAAAC
rnacentral:rRNA from 2 species